GGGAGUUAGGGUAUUUGGGAGUUAUCAGGUUUUGUUUUUAUUUUUUUUUUCAAAAUUCGUUUUUCUCUCACUAAAAAAAAAUACGUCAAUGUUUUCUGUUUUUCCCCUUUCUGAUAUUUUCUUUUCUCCUUCUCUACAAACAUUUGCUUUGUUCUCCUUCGUUUCGAUACAUCAAUAUGUUGUUCAAUCGUGUUGUUGGAAUUGUCAAGUUUUCCUUCUGAUUCGGUAAGUAGAACUCUGU
rnacentral:lncRNA from 1 species